GACGAACGCUGGCGGCGUGCUUAACACAUGCAAGUCGAACGGAAAGGCCCUGCUUUUUUGGGGUGCUCGAUUGGCGAACGGGUGAGUAACACGUGAGUAACCUGCUCUUGAUUUUGGGAUAACUUCAGGAAACUGGGGCUAAUACCGGAUAGGAGCCCCUGUUGCAUGGUGGGGGUUGGAAAGUUUCGGCGGUUGGGGAUGGACUCGCGGCUUAUCGGCUUGUUGGUGGGGUAGUGGCUUACCAAGGCAGUGACGGGUAGCCAGCAUGAGAGGGUGAACGGCGACAAGAGGACUAAGGUACGGAGCAGACUGCAACGGGAGGCAGUAGUGGGAAGUAUGGCACAAUGGGCGCGAGCCGGAUGAGGAGGCGCCGGGUGCGGGAUGCCGGCCUGCGGGUUGAGAACAGCUUUCGCCUGUGACGAAGCGGGAGUGACGGUAACGGGUAAAGAAGCACCGGCUAACUACGUG
rnacentral:rRNA from 1 species